CACGAGGGCAAGCCCUACUGCAACCACCCCUGCUACUCGGCCAUGUUUGGGCCCAAAGGCUUUGGACGAGGCGGAGCUGAGAGUCACACUUUCAAGUAGACUCGGGCCGUGGAGAUCCUGUCCUCCGGCACCCGCUGGGUCACUGCCUGUUCUGGGCAGAUGCCAGGCCUCGCUCCUGGAUGCCCAGGUCCCAAGUAACCCUUCAUGCCCUCAAUAAAACCGGAGUGCCUUCAA